CUCCGGGUCACGUGUGUGGCUGGCAGUAGCUCGGGUUUCAGCAGUGCUGUGGUCUGGCUGCCCGGCGGCUCCGGGGCGGACUUGUGCCAUAUCGCUGUGUGUGAUGACCGGGGUGGGCAGCAGGAGAAUCGGGACAACUCUGCGGAUGGGGGCGCACAGGGAUCUCAUAUAUUGGAGGAAUACAGAACUUACUGCAUCCGAUCAAUGACCUUUAUACAUCGGAUUCCCAGCACAAGAUCUACAUCGCCUCCAUGUAUGGGGUGAGGACACCUUCCUGGGCGAUCUGCGACUUGGACUUCACAUUUAGGACGCAGCAAUAUCAGGCUGAUGGGGGCUGAGAGCAAAACUUGGAAGGGAAGUUCCGUCUGGUACUUAGGAGUGUGCCCAUCCAGGGAGGGCACCAAAGUUUAUUGGAGGAAACAGAAAAUCAGUUCAUGAUUACAAUGGUCUCUGGAGAACACAGAAUGUAACACCAGGAUUACUCUACACAUAUGACCUUGAUGGCUGCACUUUGUCGACUAAUUCUACCUUUUGACUUUCGUGAACAGAGUCCAAUGGACGACAUUCAGUACAUUGAUUGUGAGAUAUACAGAAACUGUAUUCCAAUGGAUGGUAACGUGUACAGGUUUGAUAUCUUCCCACUAGCUGCCCAGGAUCACUUUUACAGAAAUGCCAGGAGCUUGCUGCAUAAUACUGCAAAACAAGCUCACAUGAGUUAAGAAUGCUAACUUGAAUAUAAUUUUAUUUUUAAAACCAGAGUUUAGUAUCACUUUAAGGGCUUUAAUUCUGGAACGAUUAAUUUCUACGAUUUCAGUUAGGAACUUUGGGACACUUCAGACAGUACUGCCACCUUCUGCUCUUUGUGGCACUGAACUUACAGUGCUAAAUCUAACAUCGGGCUCCUACCACCAGAACAAGAUAUACUGGGCGUAAUUUACUAAACCUGCUCCCUAUAAAUAAGAGUGAAACAGUCAUUAGUGAUAAACCAAUAAAUUUUCACCGCAGCGCAAACAA